rnacentral:rRNA from 1 species
UUUUGGACAAUGGGCGCAAGCCUGAUCCAGCAAUGCCGCGUGCAGGAAGAAGGCCUUCGGGUUGUAAACUGCUUUUGUACGGAACGAAACGGUCCUGGUUAAUACCUGGGGCUAAUGACGGUACCGUAAGAAUAAGCACCGGCUAACUACGUGCCAGCAGCCGCGGUAAUACGUAGGGUGCAAGCGUUAAUCGGAAUUACUGGGCGUAAAGCGUGCGCAGGCGGUUUUGUAAGACAGGCGUGAAAUCCCCGGGCUUAACCUGGGAAUGGCGCUUGUGACUGCAAAGCUGGAGUGCGGCAGAGGGGGAUGGAAUUCCGCGUGUAGCAGUGAAAUGCGUAGAUAUGCGGAGGAACACCGAUGGCGAAGGCAAUCCCCUGGGCCUGCACUGACGCUCAUGCACGAAG